ACACGGAGGGUCCAAGCGUUAUCCGGAAUCAUUGGGUUUAAAGGGUCCGCAGGCGGUCAAUUAAGUCAGAGGUGAAAGCCCAUCGCUCAACGAUGGAACUGCCUUUGAUACUGGUUGACUUGAGUUAUACGGAAGUAGAUAGAAUAAGUAGUGUAGCGGUGAAAUGCAUAGAUAUUACUUAGAAUACCGAUUGCGAAGGCAGUCUACUACGUAUAUACUGACGCUGAGGGACGAAAGCGUGGGGAGCGAACAGGAUUAGAAACCCUAGUAGUCC
rnacentral:rRNA from 1 species